CGAGAGCACCGCGAGGGUGGAGCUGAGUUCUCCUCUGCACAGACUUCGGAGAUACAGGGAAGGCAGAGCAGUGUUCUCCUCAGCACGGACCCGGUCGGGCGGGCCGGUGGCACCCCGAGGGCGGAGCUGCGUUCUGCUCAGCACAGACCUUGGGGGCACUGCCGCGCUUUGGGACAACUCGGGGCCGCAUCAACGUCAAAGAAGAUGGCCACGGAGACAGCAGCGUGGUCAGAGUGGUAGGAGCAGACCAUUGGAGAGAGCUGCUCCGUGCCUGGCUGCCGGGUGCUAGAGCCUGCAACCCACUGGCUUGCCUCACUGUGG
rnacentral:lncRNA from 10 species